GAAGCUGGCCAGGCAGUCGCCGCCCACCUUGGUGGGGGGAGGAAAGUCCGGGCUCCGCAGAGCAGGAUGACGGCUAACGGCCGUACGCCGUGAGGCGAGGAAUAGGGCCACAGAGACGAGUAUGUCGCAAGGCGGACGUGAAACGCGGUAACCUCCAUCCGGAGCAAGACCAAAUAGGGUAGCAAUGGCGUGGCUCGCGCUGCUACCGGGUAGGUUGCUUGAGCCCAGUGGUAACGUUGGGCCUAGAUGAAUGACUGCCGCCCCGCUUGCGGGGAGACAAAACCCGGCUUAUCGGCCAGCUUCUUUC
rnacentral:RNase_P_RNA from 1 species